AUCACCAUCGUUAAGGAGAAUUUUGACGACCAAGCCUUAUGGCCAAAGUCGAUGCAGUGAACGAACCAUCCCCUCUAUGACUCUGGUACUCUGGUAGUAGUAGUCGGCCUACGGCCGAAAGACACCUAGUGACAAGAACCGCUUUGGUUACAUCAGUUUUGUUGACAGUUUGGUUACUGGCGGUUUUAUAUGGUUAAAAACUACUACUACGGAUUUAUAUGGUUACAAAGGUGACCAACCAAUUCCCAUAUAUCUUUCUCCAUUAAAUCAAUCAACCGGUUUAUAUUAAGCCGGUUGAUUAAAAUGACACCAUUUAAUUUCAACCCCCCCAUUUCUGAAAAAAAAACUAAAACAUCUUGUGUUGUUUUGGUGGAAACAAAGUGGGAAAAUUCGUGUGGUAAACUAAGAAGGAGCAGCUGACUAGGGCAACUGAAAAUGUACUGCAAUGUUUUCAUGUAAUUCUGCAGCCAUAUAACCUGGACUCUGGCUCAUCGGACAUUGAACUGGAGAAUAGGUUACAACUAGCCGCUGCCAUGAGAAAAGAGCCAAAUCAGAUUUUUCUAGCUUUACUAAAUAGUAUGUUAACAAAUGCCUGUUAACUUUCCUAAUCAUCACCUCCUACGUACGUUAAACUGUGAAGUGAAGUGUGUCGAGAAAAUGGCUGUAGGAAAAGUGGGGUUGCCCUUAAACAAGACGCUUGAUCAAAUCAAGUGUGCUGAACAAGUUAGCCUUUGGCUUCGUCUCUUAACUAUAAAAUUUUAUUUUCUGAGUUUAAUGUGUAUACGUUGUUUAAACAGUAUCUUUACCUUGAUUGUAUUGGUUGUCUCACACCAUAGAAAUCUAAUUUCUACUGACGAACUCGUACAGGAAGAAAAAAGGU